CAGCCCUCAGUCUUUGAGUUGUCCCAGCUGAGAUCCAGAAAUUUUGGAACAGAGAGAAGUCAUCUGUACUACGACAUUUUAAAUCUUGACCCAUAAAAUUAGCGAGCAAAAUAAAAUGGUUAUUUUAUGACACUAAGCUUUGUGGUAGUUUGUUAGGUAGCAACAGCAAGCGGAAGAGUAGCUUGGUGAACGUUUCCUCUUGUGCAGAAGACCCAAACCUCUGAAACGCUUCUUCCUCUUCAAGCCACAGUUUUGCUGAGAAAAAGGAUGCUCCUUUGGAAAUCUCCAGCUAAAAUAAAAUAAAUGAACCUUUGUUUGAGCUUCAUAUCUGGUGUUGGAAAAGUGGUUACCUCACCUAUCUGCUGCCUGUGUUCACAUUUCCAAGAAUGAACAUGAUGAAAAUCAAACAGAUGAGCCAGAGGGAAACGCAUCAGGAUUUCCACCCAUCCUUGAAAAAGUUGCAACAGGAGAGAAGAGAGUUUCCCUUUGAACUGGGAUUUCGUCCUCAAAUAUUCUUCCAAUGUGAUGGACACCUGCAAACACGCAUGACUUUUUGGAAAAUCUUGUUUUAAAAAGUGAAGAUAUUGAAGCCUGGAGACGUGAAAUAAACACGCUGCCUGGGGUGACGCAGUUUAUGGGAAAUGACGAUGUUUCCAUGUUCUCAGGAACUGGGAAGUUUGUCUCACCAAGCAAAUGUUUGUUCUUCUUGGUGAAUAAGGAUCUGCCUAGUGUAUUUAUUA